AGGUUAAGCUAAUAAGGGCGCACGGUGGAUGCCUAGGCGCCAGGAGCCGACGAAGGACGCGACGAACAGCGAUAUGCUUCGGGGAGCCGUAAGUGGGCUUUGAUCCGGAGAUUUCCGAAUGGGGAAAC
rnacentral:rRNA from 1 species